rnacentral:lncRNA from 1 species
ACUCCACAAGAGUAGUAGAGCACAGGCAGGGUUACAGAGCUGGAAAGGCAGACGGGGAACCCAGGGGCUCACUGGCCAGCCCACGUGGCUAAAUGGAGAUCUGAGUAAAGAGACUGCACAGCUCCUAGGCGGGACCAUCGUAAUCUCUGGCGUCCAUAUCCAUCCACCCACCCACCUCCCUGAUGCAGCAAGAAUGUGGUAUGUGCUCUCACCCCCCGCUGGGCUCAGGUCUGGAGAUGACACUCUGCAUUCUACCCCGCACAGCAGUGGUGACAGAGAUGAGUCCUGCCUGGUGGGGGAGGGAGGACAGUGGGGUACGGUACCGGUGGGGGAAAACAGCAGUGUAGGCUGCUGGGCCUCACGCCUAGGUAGGGAGGACGGUGUCAAGCCGGCCAUGUGGCUUCUUUCCUCAGAGUCAGGGACAUGCCUGAAGACCUGGGACCGUUCACUCUGCUAUGCAACCAAAUGCAUAAUGCAACCCGCUUCCCAGCUUGUUCAGAGCACUUUCAAGUGACAGAGAAAAUGAUCCCUUUGAGUUUUUCUCAAACCCGUGCUGCUGGCGGCAGUUUAUCUGGUAAAACACCUAAUCAGAGGAGAAAAUGAAUGAGGCUUCCCGCCCGAUGAGCAAGCAAGCGAGUGUCUCCGGUCCGUGCUCCCAGAUCGACUUUCACAUUCAAUUCGUACCUAGUGCUGAUGUUGAUACUGAUGUUAAGAAAUAAUUUCUUUAAAAACUA